GUCCUUUAGAAUAUGAUUUAAGGUCUAAUCUGCUCAAUGAAUAAUUAAAUAGCCGCAGUAUUUUAACUGUGCGAAGGUAGCGUGAUAAUUAGUUUCUUAAUUAGAAACUUGUAUGAAUGAUUUGACAAGAAAAUUUCUGUCUCUUUUUAAUUAUUUAUGAAUUUAACUUUUAAGUUAAAAGGCUUAAAUUUAUGUAAAAGACGAGAAGACCCCAUAGAGUUUAAUUUUUAAAUAUUUUUAGUAUUACAUAGAAUUAUAAAAAAUUAGUUGGGGUAACUUAAAGAUUAAUUAAAUUCUUUAAAUAUAAAAUCAUUGAUUUGUGAAUUUAAAAUCUAAAUUAUUAAAUUUAAAUAAAGUUACCUUGGGGAUAACAGCGUAAUUUCUUUUUAGAGUUCUUAUCAAAUAAGAAGAUUGCGACCUCGAUGUUGGAUUAAAAUUAAAUUUAGGUGCAAAAGCUUAAAUAUUGAGUCUGUUCGACUUUUAAAAUUUUACA
rnacentral:rRNA from 1 species